rnacentral:lncRNA from 1 species
GGUUUAUAUAUUCAUGCACCACUAAAGCUUGCAACGUCUUCAGUGUUUCACUCAACCUCCAUCUCUUUCCCGUUGCAAUAAUUCUUCGAAGGCAAAUCUGUAUCAAACUUUACCAAAUGUCAAGCGUUUUAAUUUUGGAAGGUAGAUCUGUUUGCUUUGUAUGUGGAUAACUAACUUCUCUUCCUUCUCAAUGUACUACUGUAUCUUCUGUACUGUUAAUGGAGGCUAGACUAGGGUUGCGGAUACAUCCAUGGCUUCUAGUCUUUUAAGACUCCAUAAAUUAUGGAAUAUAAGGAGCUCAGUUGAUGGAAGAAGAACUUAUUUUUGUUCGUGCUAAAAUGGGCAUGCUUUAUUUUGGGUGAUCGAGUCAACAUCAUAACCACAUGAUUUUGAUAUCUAGUCUACCGGUUCCUCUUUCCUUGAAGUCUUUUUUUUUUUUUUUGAGCUUGUUUAAGUGAUUGGGUA